CCCCAGUCAGGCGGGNUACCCCUUA
rnacentral:rRNA from 1 species